UACGAAGGGGGCUAGCGUUGUUCGGAAUUACUGGGCGUAAAGCGCGCGUAGGCGGCUUUGUAAGUUAGAGGUGAAAGCCCGGAGCUCAACUCCGGAACUGCCUUUAAGACUGCAUCGCUAGAAUUGUGGAGAGGUAAGUGGAAUUCCGAGUGUAGAGGUGAAAUUCGUAGAUAUUCGGAAGAACACCAGUGGCGAAGGCGACUUACUGGACACAUAUUGACGCUGAGGUGCGAAAGCGUGGAGAGCAAACAGG
rnacentral:rRNA from 1 species